GGGAUGGCCACCUGAUGUCAUCCCAGGGUCCCAAUUGUGGAGCAUAUGCCAGAGGUUUUCAAACAGCUCACAAAGAAUGCAUGAGUUUUAUUAUUUUGCACCAAAGGACUGGAAGUGGAGCAGAACUGAGAUGCAGCUUCUUGGAAUGAAUCACCAAGUGGAAAAAAAAGUACUGGGAACGGAAGCCCAGUAGAGAGGAUGCUGUAUGCAAGCAUCUCCUUUUUCUCCCUGGUUUAUGGAUCUUUACUGAUUUGUGGUUGUGAACUAUUCAUGAGAAACUGCAUGUUAUGAAGAGAACCUGGCUUUGGGAAUCAAGAUCUGUGUUCUGUGCCUAUAUCCAUCAAUUAACAGGUG